rnacentral:rRNA from 1 species
UAGGAAUUUUCGUCAAUGGGCGCAAGCCUGAACGAGCAAUGCCGCGUGAACGAGGAAGGUCUUCGGAUCGUAAAGUUCUGUUGAAGGGGAAAAAGAGCGGAGAGAGGAAAUGGUCUCCGAUUGAUAUUACCCUUCGAGGAAGUCACGGCUAACUACGUGCC